rnacentral:lncRNA from 13 species
CAGGGCUUUAAAACACAACCCUGUUACUGUAUUACAUAGUGAAGGAAGAGUCAGGGCUUUAAAACACAACCCUGUUACUGUAUUACAUAGUGAAGGAAGAGUCAGGGCUUUAAAACACAACCCUGUUACUGUAUUACAUAGUGAAGGAAGAGUCAGGGCUUUAAAACACAACCCUGUUACUGUAUUACAUAGUGAAGGAAGAGUCAGGGCUUUAAAACACAACCCUGUUACUGUAUUACAUAGUGAAGGAAGAGUCAGGGCUUUAAAACACAACCCUGUUACUGUAUUACAUAGUGAAGGAAGAGUCAGGGCUUUAAAACACAACCCUGUUACUGUAUUACAUAGUGAAGGAAGACUCAGGGCUUUACUUGUUGUGAAGGCUAUGUUUUGCAGUCUGUUCCUCCAAGGCUUUGGUAAAAGAAAGGGGGAAAAACGAUAUUGUUUACCUGGAGUGGUAUGAGGAAAUAUGAAUUCUGAAAGGUUCUAGGUGGGUCACAGUCAUCGAGUCACAUUCCAUACAAGUCUUCAGAUCUGUCUGAUAAUUAAUGUACAAUGGUUAUGUUGUCUGAUAACCAUUCAAUAUUACUGGUGUUUUGGUCGCCGUUAAGAUGUGGAUGUGAUCUUUUCUCCACAGAGGUACGUGUCUGAUAAUUACGCUAUGCUGAUAUUAUUGUUUCUCCACAGAGGUACUCGUUUGAUCUGCAGUAUCCAGGUUAUGACCACGACACCCCCCUCACCUGCAUGGAACAACCCGGAACCUUCGAACCCAACAAUGAUCAGGAGAUCUGGGAGUCUGAGAGAGAGGGUGGUGAUGAGGAUCCCCAUGCUAUGAGCCCUGUAGCUAACGGCUCAGCUAUGGGGGCUGGAGAGACUGGCUCUACAGGGGAGAACGAAGGAGAGAAGCAGGCUCAUGGUGAUAGUGAUGGAGACAGCUUCAACAACUUCUGUGCCAGUGAUGUCACUCCGCCCAUAAAAAGGGUUGGCUUUAGCCUGGACCUCGACCUGAGUGACAAGGUGUUACUCGGCUCCAGCCCUGACCUUUGACCCUUGAGUGACAUGGUGUUACUCGGCUCCGGCCCUGACCUUCGACCCUGUAUGUCCAGAUAACGUCUUCACCGAGAUCAAGAUGUACAUAGCACCUUUAUUUGAUCUAUAAAAUGUCAGAAUGUAAACGGCUCCAAAUCAGUUUUUACUUUCCUAUUUCUGAUACUGUAAUUCAUUUUAAUAAUGUUUUUUGAGCAUGACAAUACCAAGAGAGCGAUGCCACGUGGUUUUAGAAUAAUAAAUAAAAGUACUUAACAGAGGACUUGACGUGGUGUCUUGAUGUAGUAAUGUGUGUGUGUGUUUGGGUUGACGCGUGGAACUUAAAUGACUGUCGCUCCGUAGCACUUACUUCUGUCAUCGUGUAAGUGCUUCGAGAGACUAGUCAAGGAUCGUAUCACCUCCACCUUACCUGACACCCUUAGACCCACUUCAAUGCUUUGAGAGACUACUAGUCAAGGAUCAUAUCACCUCCACCUUACCUGACACCCUUAGACCCACUUCAAUGCUUCGAGAGACUAGUCAAGGAUCGUAUCACCUCCACCUUACCUGACACCCUUAGACCCACUCCAGCUUGCAUACCGCUCUGCCUCAAUAGAUCCACAGACGAUGCAAUCGCCUGUACACUGCCCCGUCCCAUCUGGACAAGAGGAAUACCUAUGUAAGAAUGCUGUUCAUUGACUACAGCUCAGCAUUCAACACCAUAGUAACCUCCAAGCUCAUCGUUAAGCUCAGGGUCCUGAUUCUGAAACCCCGCCCUGCGCAACUGGG